AUACAUGCAGUCGAGCGAAUGGAUUNGAGAGCUUGCUCUCAAGAAGUUAGCGGCGGACGGGUGAGUAACACGUGGGUAACCUGCCCAUAAGACUGGGAUAACUCCGGGAAACCGGGGCUAAUACCGGAUAAUAUUUUGAACUGCAUGGUUCGAAAUUGAAAGGCGGCUUCGGCUGUCACUUAUGGAUGGACCCGCGUCGCAUUAGCUAGUUGGUGAGGUAACGGCUCACCAAGGCAACGAUGCGUAGCCGACCUGAGAGGGUGAUCGGCCACACUGGGACUGAGACACGGCCCAGACUCCUACGGGAGGCAGCAGUAGGGAAUCUUCCGCAAUGGACGAAAGUCUGACGGAGCAACGCCGCGUGAGUGAUGAAGGCUUUCGGGUCGUAAAACUCUGUUGUUAGGGAAGAACAAGUGCUAGUUGAAUAAGCUGGCACCUUGACGGUACCUAACCAGAAAGCCACGGCUAACUACGUGCCAGCAGCCGCGGUAAUACGUAGGUGGCAAGCGUUAUCCGGAAUUAUUGGGCGUAAAGCGCGCGCAGGUGGUUUCUUAAGUCUGAUGUGAAAGCCCACGGCUCAACCGUGGAGGGUCAUUGGAAACUGGGAGACUUGAGUGCAGAAGAGGAAAGUGGAAUUCCAUGUGUAGCGGUGAAAUGCGUAGAGAUAUGGAGGAA
rnacentral:rRNA from 1 species